GACGAACGCUGGCGGCGUGCUUAACACAUGCAAGUCGAACGGAAAGGCCCUGCUUUUGUGGGGUGCUCGAGUGGCGAACGGGUGAGUAACACGUGAGUAACCUGCCCUUGACUUUGGGAUAACUUCAGGAAACUGGGGCUAAUACCGGAUAGGAGCUCCUGCUGCAUGGUGGGGGUUGGAAAGUUUCGGCGGUUGGGGAUGGACUCGCGGCUUAUCAGCUUGUUGGUGGGGUAGUGGCUUACCAGGGCUUUGACGGGUAGCCGGCCUGAGAGGGUGACCGGCCACAUUGGGACUGAGAUACGGCCCAGACUCCUACGGGAGGCAGCAGUGGGGAAUAUUGCACAAUGGGCGGAAGCCUGAUGCAGCAACGCCGCGUGCGGGAUGACGGCCUUCGGGUUGUAAACCGCUUUCGCCUGUGACGAAGCGUGAGUGACGGUACUGGGUAAAGAAGCACCGGCUAACUACGUG
rnacentral:rRNA from 1 species